rnacentral:lncRNA from 1 species
AGCAGGGGAGAGGAAGGUGGUGUACGGCUGCAGAGGACAGGUGUCACUGCAGCCUUGGAGAAGUGGAGAGCAAAGGCAGGAGGGAAUGUGCCCAGGAGGCUGGCCCCUCCGCCUCGCUUCUCUGCCAUGGACUGUGGGCUGAAGCGGGAGCCUGAAUAACCUCUCCUGUAAGUUAGAGGUGGCGGGUGUUGUGUCCCAGCGACGGGAAGGUGACUAGGACGGCGUAGAACUCAGGCCCCAGUGCACCCGCCGGCUGGACACCUUGGGGAAAGGACUGGAGCCGCCCUGUCCCCGCUGGAUGCCAUUCAUUCCUCGUCCUUUGCAGUUUGAUGAGACCUGGACUCCAGGGACUUGUGAGUGACACCCAGGUGGGCCGUGCUGUGUCACUGCCCCCUCCAGCCCCAGUGUCCCCCCAAGGGUCACGACUGCCCCCUCCAGCCCCAGCCCUUGGCACAGUGCCUGUGACAGAUGAAUGAAUGAGCAGUGAGUGCUCCCUGCUGCUCCUGGACCCUGGGGGCCAUGGCUUCUCCGUCCAGGCUUCGUCCCAUUCUGCUGGGCCUGGCAGCUGGCAGGGGCAGGAGAGGCUGAUGUCUCCCCUUGCUCCUCGCCUGCGCCCCCUUCACUCUGACUGUUGCUAACACGGGAAGGUGGAGGGGCCUUGUGCUCCCCAAAGAGCCCUCUGCAUCCUGUGGGGUUCUGAUGACCACGAACUGUCAUGUUCUUAUGCUUUUCAAGUCAAUUCACAUCUUUUCUUUUCGGCAGUACUGGGGACUGACCCCAGGCCUUCACAUUGACCCACAUCUGCAGCAACCCCCCCCCCCAUUUUUUUUUUUUUUUGGUACCGGGGAUCAAACUCAGGUCCUUGCGCUUGCAAGGCAGGUGACAGAACCUCUGAGCUAAAUCCCCGGCCCCAUCAUCCCCCUCCUUUUGAGACAGGGUCUCACUGUAUAGUUCAGGCUGGCCUUGAACUCAUUAUGGAGCCCUGGCUGCCUCGAACUCAUGGCAAUCCUCUUGCCUCAGCCUCCUGAGUACAGGUGUGCACCACCACGUUCAGCAUCCCCAGCCCUUUUAUAUUUUGUAUUUUGAGACAGGGUCUCUCUAUGUUGCCCAGGAUAGGCACGAACUUAGGAUCCUCCUCCCUCAGCCUCCCAGAGUGCUGGGAUGACAGGUGAGCCCCACCACCUGGCUAAUUCACGACUUCUUGCUGAGGCCCACCUGCCUUCCCCACCUGCACACCCUGGGGCCCAGCUCCCCGUUUUCCCAGCCAGGGGACUUGGACCCACUUCACGGAGCAUGGGAACCUCUGGUCUACAGCAGAACUCCUGUGAAACCGUAGGUUUGCUGUGUGGUCUACACCGCUGGCUGUGAGUCCAACAUCCAUGCUCCCCUCUGGCUUUACUAAUAAAACCUAAUUCUGUUCAGAACAGAACAGUGGCACCGGUCUACACUCUGUUUUCUUGCUUCCUCUGCAAGCAGGGGCCGCCCCCCAACACAGCUCUGGCCAGUAAGACAUUAGCGGGUGUCAACAGGUAGGGAUAGGGAGGCAGAAGUCAGCACUUUGCCUGUGCUCUUUCCCUUCUCUCUGCCUGGAACACAGAU